rnacentral:rRNA from 1 species
UACAGAGGUCUCGAGCGUUGUUCGGAUUCAUUGGGCGUAAAGGGUGCGUAGGUGGCGCCGUAAGUCGGGUGUGAAAUUUCGGAGCUUAACUCCGAAACUGCAUUCGAUACUGCGGUGCUUGAGGACUGGAGAGGAGACUGGAAUUCUCGGUGUAGCGGUGAAAUGCGUAGAUAUCGAGAGGAACACCUGCGGCGAAGGCGGGUUGCUGGGCUGAUACUGACGCUGAUGCGCGAAAGCCAGGGGAGCGAACGGG